GAGGGUAUAGCUCAGUGGUAGAGCUCAUGGUUAGCAGGCGCAGGGUCCUGGGCUCAAUCCCCAGUACCUCCA
rnacentral:tRNA from 1 species